UGGAGGAAAAUCUUUCAGCUCUUUCUACUGAAAACAAUAUGAGUGCCAGACUUCCCAUAUAUGGUCAUAUAUGGUCUCAUUUCUAUCGGGCCACAGAGAACUGAGCGGAAGUGGACUCGUACACCGCACACACUGAGCCCACAAAAAGCACUGUUCAGUGAACAAGAGCAUCCAGGGAGUGAAAGCAACGGCUUGGGGAAACAGUGAAAGCCCUGACGCAGAGAAAGAUGGUCCUUUGCAGUGUGUAUCCUCCUGCCGUUACAUCCUCCUGCUUUGAGGAGUGAACAACCCAGCAUCUCUCCAGCUCAUGGAUGCUGGAGGAACGUCAGCGAGAUGAAAGAGAAGUCUGAACUCAAACCUAAAAAUAAAAACAGAAGUUGAACCUUCCUGCGUGUCAAGCAAUCGGGGACUCUCCGCUGGUCCUCGGGGAUGGAGAUGAGAAAGCCUGCUCGUGCAGAAAAACAAACCCGUUGGCCAGUGAGCCAGGUGACCGAUGACUGUCAAAUUGUUGGAAAGUGACCACAGCAUUCAGAUGAAUAUGAUCUUGGCCAAGCCUUUGAUUACACCCUCUUUUCUGUCAGCCUCGUGAUUUCAUAGGUCUACAACCUAGUCAGGAGGACAGUUGCAGCUCAGAGAACCUGUCUGUGCAGGCGACGUCAACAGCUCCUUUCCCUCUGACCUCCAGGUGGACUUGUCAGUGGGAAGUCUCAUAGGAGGACAGAAGAAUGAAGGUAUCUCUCCAGCUUCCUGCCUGCAUCCUGCCGUGCCAUGGUUUGACCCCAGCUGUUGUUCGUGUCACAACCACAGACCCGUGGAAGAUGUCAGAAAAGCCCCUUCUGCAAGCCUAUCUGCCCUCUCCCUAUCCCUUCAUCUGUUGUAUUACUGAAGAGGCCAUGGUUUCCUUGAAGCUAUUUGAUUGAUUUCGAUCUUCAACAUCAUUGGCUUCCAAUAGAAUCAGAUGAUGUGAAGGGCCCUCUUCCUCGUGGCAUCAUCUCUGGGCAUCCUUUCAUUUCUUGGAUUAUAUAGCUCUGUUUGUUUUUCAUGACAGGGUUUCUCUGUGUGGCCCUGGCUAUCCUAUAACUCCCUCUGUACACCAGGCCAGUCUCAAAAUCAGAGAUCCUCCAGUCCCUGCCUCCCGAGUGCUGGGAUUAAGGUGUGGGCCACUAUGCCCA
rnacentral:sRNA from 1 species